CUACAUCUUCACCAGACAUAGGCGCUGCGCUUUUCCUGGGUGCGAUCUCUGCUGAACCAGACUAGUAGAAUAAUGUCGGUCACAGACAGGCUGAGAGCUAAUGAAAGCCUCUUUAAAGGCCAGAGUAUCGUCUCCCCAAAUGGAAAGUAUGAAGCCAUUUUGCAGGAUGAUGGAAACUUUGUCCUAUAUGAAAGAUGCCCAAUUUGGGCAAGCAAUACAGAUAACCAUCCAGAUGUUGUGAAACUCUGCAUGCAGUAUGACAACAACCUCGUAGUUUAUGAUGCAAGCAAGGCAAUAUGGCAUUCCAGCAGUUGGCGUCAGGAAGGCAGCGACUGUAUAGUGGUAAUGCAAGAUGACGGAAAUCUGGUGAUCUAUCGUACAGAGCAAUGCAGUGAGCCCAUUUGGUCCACCAAGUAAAGGUCUGAGGAAUCAAUGUAGCCCAGAUGAUACUUGGAAGGAUGUAUCCGCUUUGCACAGCUGGUCAUAAUGAAUAACCUGAGAGGACUCUACAUGUAUAUACGUAUUUCUAUCCAUUUGAUAAACAUAAACAUAAGAUAAGUAUCUACCGCACACAAUCUGAUGCUUUACAAUAUAAAUGGUAUGAUUAAACAGAACUAGAUAUUUUACACAAUUCCUUUGUCUCCCUUUGAUCUAGAGAUGAAUUUUCCUAUAUUUUGUUUUGAAACUACAAAUCAGGGUAACAGAAUGAAAGCACCAGUUAUAUAUUGUCUGAUUUAUAAAACAUGCAAGGCAAUCAUUCAUAACUUUUGUGAAGAACCCAAAACAACUCUAAAGAAUGUGAACAUAAAGACUCUGAAUCACACCUGCUGAAUGACUAUGCUUAUGGACCUUAUAACUGCCAUAUUUUGUACAAUCUGAAUUAAAUAACGCCCUGCUAUCCAUCCUGUCCUACGCAUUGCUGAAGUAUGAAAUGUGGACUAAAUAUGGAUAUUUUUACUUUGCUUUGAGCUAUUUGAAUAAUAAACAUAAAGUAUAAAACAA